rnacentral:rRNA from 1 species
CAGCCUGCCAGUGACUCUGUUUAACGGCCGCGGUAUCUAACCGUGCGAAGGUAGCGUAAUCACUUGUUCUUUAAAUGAGGACUAGUAUGAAUGGCAUCACGAAGGUUAUACUGUCUCCUUUUCCUAAUCAGUGAAACUAAUCUUCCCGUGAAGAAGCGGGAAUAAACCUAUAAGACGAGAAGACCCUAUGGAGCUUCAAACUUUUCAGCAGUUAUCUUCACUUUUACAAACUUCCCUGAACAAUAAAAUUAAUCCAGAUAAUAUGUCUACAAGUUUUCGGUUGGGGUGACCACGGAGCAAAACUUACCCUCCGCAAUGAAUUAGAAUUCCAUUUCUAAACAAAGAAUUACAAUUCUAUGUAUCAAAAAAUUGAUGACCCAAUAUUUUGAUCAACGAACCAAGUUACCCUAGGGAUAACAGCGCAAUCCAUCUCAAGAGCUCUUAUCGACAGAUGGGUUUACGACCUCGAUGUUGGAUCAGGGUAUCCCAGUGGUGCAGCCGCUACUAAAGGUUCGUUUGUUCAACGAUUAAAACCCUACGUGAUCGA